rfam:Scardovia wiggsiae F0424 genomic scaffold supercont1.1, whole genome shotgun sequence.
CGGGCCAUAGCGCAGCUUGGUAGCGCACUUGACUGGGGGUCAAGGGGUCGCGGGUUCAAAUCCCGCUGGCCCGA